UGCGUAGGCGGUUUGGUAAGUCUUGUGUGAAAUCUAUGGGCUCAACUCAUAGUCUGCACGAGAAACUGCCGGGCUUGAGUGUGGGAGAGGUGAGUGGAAUUUCCGGUGUAGCGGUGAAAUGCGUAGAUAUCGGAAGGAACACCUGUGGCGAAAGCAGCUCACUGGACCAUAACUGACGCUGAUGCACGAAAGCUAGGGGAGCAAACAGGAUUAGAUACCCUGGUAGUCCUAGCCCUAAACGAUGACUGCUUGGUGUGACGGGUACCCAAUCCCGCCGUGCCGUAGCUAACGCGUUAAGCAGUCCGCCUGGGGAGUACGGUCGCAAGGCUGAA
rnacentral:rRNA from 1 species